UACGUAGGGGGCGAGCGUUAUCCGGAUUUAUUGGGCGUAAAGCGUGUGUAGGUGGUUUAUUAAGUAUAAAAUUAAAGCCCGGAGCUUAACUCCGGUUCGUUUUAUAAACUGGUAGACUUGAGUAUGGUAGAGGCAAAUGGAAUUUCUAGUGUAGCGGUAAAAUGCGUAGAUAUUAGAAGGAACACCGGUGGCGAAGGCGAUUUGCUGGGCCAUUACUGACACUGAGACACGAAAGCGUGGGGAGCAAAUAGGAUUAGAUACCCUAGUAGUCCACGCCGUAAACGAUGAGUACUAAGUGUUGGGAUUUCCCAGUGCUGAAGUUAACACAUUAAGUACUCCGCCUGAGUAGUACGGUCGCAAGGCUGAA
rnacentral:rRNA from 1 species